CCAAAGAUUGGAUGAACAAGUGGCAAGAAAAUGCCAGGUGGAAACACCCCAACAGACAGUCCAUGAGCGACGGUGGAACUCUGUGCUGCACCACCCACAUGAAGCUUAGGAUUCAUCCUGCCAAGCCUCCCUCGGAUGCCGAGGAGAAACCGCUCUAUGAGGUGCUCAAGAAGGCCUCAUCAUGGACCUAUCCGCCAGCACAGGUAAUGACAACGCACUUGAGGAAACUCGAUAGGUUGGCUACCUUGAAAUGGAGAAGGAGGUCAAGAAACACAUUUCCUAACUUUCAGAAGGAACUGUCUGGGAUAAUUAAUCAACACAUCACCAACACCAAGGGAUUGUUUUAUAUCAGAAGACGUAUAAU
rnacentral:lncRNA from 1 species